CACCACCUCUUUUUCCUUCUUCUUCUUCUAAUUUUCUUCUUCUCCAUACAGAGAUAAACUUAUGCUUUUUAUUUCAGAGUUAGGUUUAGGGGAUCAAUUCGUGAAGAACUUAGGGGAGAAAUUGAGAAGAUGAAGCCGUUCUAAGGAGAAAACGAGAGUUUAUGAAGAAUUACUCAAUGGGUUUGCUUCUAAGUUAGGUUAGGGAUUGUUGCUGGUGGCUGAGAGCAGAUCGAGAAGAAAUCUAGGGUGGAUUCAGUUUCGAACAAGGAAGUUGGGGAUUCUGAAAUUAGGGUUUGUGUGAUAUGAUUGAGUUAGGGUUUGGACUGAUUUGAGGUAUAGGUGACGCAGAAGCUACUGAAGAGGUGGAAAUCUGUUAAAAUUUAUUGAAAAAAGGAAAAAUACAGAUGAAUGGGGCUCAUGUUAAUGGCAAGGUGCAUAUAUCUAGUCCAGUGGUUGAAUCGAAUGGAAAAUUUCAAGAAUUUUGGUUCAAUUCUUCGUGUAUAUGAUGCUGUUAUGGGUUAUAAUUAUACUUCAAUGAGAAUGAAACGUUGGUAGCUAGGGGACAGUUGCAGGUGGAUGCUAUUUUGAGCAGUGGAUGGUGCUGGAUCAAAUGAUUUUAGCAAGAGAAUAAUGGAGCUUGAAGCUGAGAAGAUACAAGUAUUGCAGCUAAAGUGCAGGCUAUGGAUUGAGGUGGUAUCGAGUUGGGGGUUGUGUUCUGUUGUUGCAGUGACUCACGACUUAACUCGGCAAUGACGAGCUAUGAUAACUUGAUCUAACUCAGUACAGUGAGAUGAUUCUAGGGCAUAGAUGUCUUUUACUAAGCUGAAUAACUGCCACCUAUGUACUAACGGAAGUUAACUGUUUUUUGAAAAAAAACGGGAUGGAAAAGAUCGAAUGUGUGGCAUGAAAUAAAUUCUGAAAAAAAUGAUGGCACUUUCUUGAACAUGAAAUUGGAAGUGUGGUACUUCAUUAAAA